rnacentral:rRNA from 1 species
GAUGAACGCUGGCGGCGUGCCUAAUACAUGCAAGUCGAGCGAACAGACGAGGAGCUUGCUCCUCUGACGUUAGCGGCGGACGGGUGAGUAACACGUGGAUAACCUACCUAUAAGACUGGGAUAACUUCGGGAAACCGGAGCUAAUACCGGAUAAUAUAUUGAACCGCAUGGUUCAAUAGUGAAAGACGGUUUUGCUGUCACUUAUAGAUGGAUCCGCGCCGCAUUAGCUAGUUGGUAAGGUAAAGGCUUACCAAGGCAACGAUGCGUAGGCGACCUGAGAGGGGGGUCGGCCACACUGGAACUGGGACGCGGUCCAGACUCCUGCGGGAGGCAGCAGAAGGGAAUCGUCCGCAAUGGGGGAAAGCCUGACGGAGCAACGCCGCGUGAGUGGUGAAGGUCUUCGGAGCGUAAAACUCUGUUAUUGGGGAUGAACAAAUGUGUAAGUAACUAUGCACGUCUUGACGGUACCUAAUCAGAAAGCCACGGCUAACUACGUG